rnacentral:rRNA from 1 species
CUACGGGCCGCAGCAGUGGGGAAUAUUGCACAAUGGAGGAAACUCUGAUGCAGCAACGCCGCGUGGAGGAUGACACUUUUCGGAGCGUAAACUCCUUUUAUAUAGGAAGAAGAUGACGGUACUAUAUGAAUAAGCGCCGGCUAACUCCGUGCCAGCAGCCGCGGUAAUACGGAGGGCGCAAGCGUUACGCGGAAUCACUGGGCGGAAAGAGCGGUAGGCGGAUUAAAAAGUCAGAAGUGAAAUCCUAUAGCUUAACUAUAGAACUGCUUCUGAAACUCUUAAUCUGGAAUAUGGGAGAGGUAGAUGGAAUUUCUGGUGUAGGGGUAAAAUCCGUAGAGAUCAGAAGGAAUACCGAUUGCGAAGGCGAUCUACUAGAACAUUAUUGACGCUGAGACGCGAAAACGUGGGGAGCAAACAGGAUUAGAUACCCGCGUAGUC